rnacentral:rRNA from 1 species
CCUACGGGAGGCAGCAGUGAGGAAUAUUGGUCAAUGGGCGCGAGCCUGAACCAGCCAAGUAGCGUGAAGGAUGACUGCCCUACGGGUUGUAAACUGCUUUUAUAAAGGAAUAAAGUGAGGCACGUGUGCCUUUUUGUAUGUACUGUAUGAAUAAGGAUCGGCUAACUCCGUGCCAGCAGCCGCGGUAAUACGGAGGAUCCGAGCGUUAUCCGGAUUUAUUGGGUUUACAGGGAGCGUAGAUGGGUGGUUAAGUCAGUUGGGAAAGUUUGCGGCUCAACCGUAAAAUUGCCAUUGAUACUGGCAGCCUUGUGUACAGUUGCGCUAGGCGGAAUUCGUGGUGUAGCGGUGACCUUCUUAGAUAUCACG